rnacentral:rRNA from 1 species
UACGAAGGGUGCAAGCGUUAAUCGGAAUCACUGGGCGUAAAGCGCGCGUAGGUGGUUCAGUAAGUUGGAAGUGAAAUCCCCGGGCUCAACCUGGGAACUGCUUUCAAAACUGCUGAGCUAGAGUACGGUAGAGGGUGGUGGAAUUUCCUGUGUAGCGGUGAAAUGCGUAGAUAUAGGAAGGAACACCAGUGGCGAAGGCGACCACCUGGACUGAUACUGACACUGAGGUGCGAAAGCGUGGGGAGCAAACAGG